ACGGGUGAGUAACGCGUAAGAACCUGCCCCUGGGAGGGGGACAUCAGCUGGAAAUGGCUGCUAAUACUCCAUAGGCUGAGGAGCAAAAGGAGGAAUCCACCUGAGGAGGGGUUUGUGUCUGAUUAGCUAGUUGGUGAGGCAAUAGCUUACCUACACGAUGAUCAGUAGCUGAUCCGAGAGGAUGAUCAGCCACACUGGGACUCUGUAAAUUUGCUAUGGAAG
rnacentral:ncRNA from 1 species